AGCGAACGCUGGCGGCAGGCCUAACACAUGCAAGUCGAACGAACCCUUCGGGGUUAGUGGCGGACGGGUGAGUAACACGUGGGAACGUGCCUUUAGGUUCGGAAUAACUCAGGGAAACUUGUGCUAAUACCGAAUGUGCCCUUCGGGGGAAAGAUUUAUCGGCUUUAGAGCGGCCCGCGUCUGAUUAGCUAGUUGGUGAGGUAAUGGCUCACCAAGGCUACGAUCAGUAGCUGGUCUGAGAGGAUGACCAGCCACAUUGGGACUGAGACACGGCCCAAACUCCUACGGGAGGCAGCAGUGGGGAACCUUGCGCAAUGGGCGAAAGCCUGACGCAGCCAUGCCGCGUGGAUGAUGAAGGUCUUAGGAUUGUAAAAUCCUUUCACCGGUGAAGAUAAUGACUGUAGCCGGAGAAGAAGCCCCGGCUAACUUCGUGCCAGCCGCCGCCGUAAGAC
rnacentral:rRNA from 1 species